AUUGAACGCUGGCGGCAGGCCUAACACAUGCAAGUCGAACGGUAACAGGAAGAAGCUUGCUUCUUUGCUGACGAGUGGCGGACGGGUGAGUAAUGUCUGGGAAACUGCCUGAUGGAGGGGGAUAACUACUGGAAACGGUAGCUAAUACCGCAUAACGUCGCAAGACCAAAGAGGGGGACCUUCGGGCCUCUUGCCAUCGGAUGUGCCCAGAUGGGAUUAGCUAGUAGGUAGGGUAACGGCUCACCUAGGCGACGAUCCCUAGCUGGUCUGAGAGGAUGACCAGCCACACUGGAACUGAGACACGGUCCAGACUCCUACGGGAGGCAGCAGUGGGGAAUAUUGCACAAUGGGCGCAAGCCUGAUGCAGCCAUGCCGCGUGUAUGAAGAAGGCCUUCGGGUUGUAAAGUACUUUCAGCGGGGAGGAAGGGAGUAAAGUUAAUACCUUUGCUCAUUGACGUUACCCGCAGAAGAAGCACCGGCUAACUCCGUG
rnacentral:rRNA from 1 species